GAAAGGGUUAAUGCUGUUGUUGUGAAGUAGGGUUAUGGGGUGAGGGGGAAGCAGUGGGAGGGAUGCGAGGCGUCCGCUCCCUGUUCACCCGGUGACCGUGUUGGAUGUCCUGUCCCCACCUCCCUGGCAUCGCUUGCUCUCCCCCUUCCCUGCUGCCGCGAUGACCAGGGAGAAGAUCCGCUCCCUAUCUACGCUGACAAGUCAUGUAAGGAGAAGAGCUGCUAGAGGACGGGGGCGGCACCUUCACCCGGGAUGUAGCCAUGGAUGCUCCCAGCCCAAGUGUGUGUUCUACUGUUGUGCAAGCAGACCGGCUAUCCUGUGCAAAUGGGCCUGUAUCAGGAGACCUCUGUGAGGAAGUUGGAUGCUGCUAUUCCGCAACUGACUCUACAAUGCCCUGUUACUAUGGUAACAAAUGAAAAGAAAAAAAAAAUACAGCUUGCCAUGGACCAGUAAACAGGGGUACUUUAGAGGUAAGUAGCAGUAAGGAGUG